rnacentral:rRNA from 1 species
AUUGAACGCUGGCGGCAUGCUUUACACAUGCAAGUCGAACGAGUGGCGAACGGGUGAGUAAUAUGUCGUAACGUCCCGAGUAAUGGGUGAUAACCAGUCACAGGAUUGGCUAAUACCUCAUAUUAUUUGAGCCGCCGAUAACUGAUUAGCUAGUUGGUGGGGUAAAGGCCUACCCAGGCGACGAUCAGUAGCGGGUCUGAGAGGACGAUCCGCCACACUGGGACUGAGACACGGCCCAGACUCCUACGGGAGGCAGCAGUGGGGAAUUUUGGACAAUGGGGGCAAGCCUGAUCCAGCCAUGCCGCGUGUAUGAAGAAGGCCUUCGGGUUGUAAAGUACUUUCGUUAGGGAAGCGGUACCUAAAGAAUAAGCACCGGCUAACUACGUGCCAGCAGCCGCGGUAAUUC